rnacentral:rRNA from 1 species
CACAUGGCUAGAUCUCCUUGUCAAAGCCUAAUCUCAUCAGAUCUCAGAAGCCAAGCAGGGUUCGGCCUGGUUAGUACUUGGAUGGGAGGCCGCUGGGAAUUCCAGGUGCCACAGUGC